GCUUACGGCCAUACCACCCUGAACACGCCGAUCUCGUCCGAUCUCGGAAGCUAAGCAGGGUCGGGCCUGGUUAGUACUUGGAUGGGAGACCCCUGGGAAUACCAGGUGCUGUAAGCU
rnacentral:rRNA from 1 species